rnacentral:rRNA from 1 species
AGAGGUUUGAUCCUGGCUCAGAUUGAACGCUGGCGGCAUGCCUUACACAUGCAAGUCGAGCGGCAGCGCGGGGGCAACCCUGGCGGCGAGCGGCGGACGGGUGAGUAAUGCAUCGGAACGUGUCCUCUUGUGGGGGAUAACCAGUCGAAAGACUGGCUAAUACCGCAUGAGCUCGAGAGAGGAAAGCAGGGGAUUCGCAAGGACCUUGCGCGAGAGGAGCGGCCGAUGCCCGAUUAGCUAGUUGGCGGGGUAACGGCCCACCAAGGCGACGAUCGGUAGCUGGUCUGAGAGGACGACCAGCCACACUGGGACUGAGACACGGCCCAGACUCCUACGGGAGGCAGCAGUGGGGAAUUUUGGACAGUGGGGGCAACCCUGAUCCAGCCAUGCCGCGUGUGUGAAGAAGGCCUUCGGGUUGUAAAGCACUUUCGGACGGAACGAAAUCGCGCGUGUUAAUAACCCGCGUGGAUGACGGUACCGUAAGAAGAAGCACCGGCUAACUACGUGCCAGCAGCCGCGGUAAUACGUAGGGUGCGAGCGUUAAUCGGAAUUACUGGGCGUAAAGUGUGCGCAGGCGGCUGAGCAAGUCGAGUGUGAAAGCCCCGGGCUUAACUUGGGAAUUGCGCUCGAAACUACUUGGCUGGAGUUGUGGCAAGGAAGGUGGAAUUCCACG